GCCGGCUGCAGCGGGGCGGGGGUGGGGCCCAUGCCAAAAGGCACGGAUCCCCGGAAUCCCUCAGCCUUUGUCCCAGGAGAACCUCCUCACAUCCCUGGUGCCAGGGCACUGGGAACCCGUGAGACCAGGGUUCUCCCUGCCCAGACUCUUCCUUCAGGCUGGAGGGAACAGUGGGGGUGACAGGCACUGACCACCAGGCAGGCAGCAGCAGGGCGGAGCCUGGGGUAUGAGGGCGCAGAGGUGAUCGGGUGCUGAGCCCUCCGCGAUGAGCUCAGCUCGGAGGUGGGAGCCCCUGACCCUUUCCCAGGGCUCUGAGUCGGCCUUGGAGAGUGUGGUGUUGGGCCCAGCCACAGAGGUCAGCAGAUGGCGGGCGGCUAGCGCUGGGGCCCGGGCUGUGCAGGAGGGUCAGGCCCCGGCACACCCUGGCAUUUCCUGUGCAGACCCAGAUGGGUGAGGUCAGCUGAGAAGGGGAGAGGCCACAGGGGACUUCCUCCAUCCUCUCAAGUUAGUGGAGGCAGGGCCCCAAGCCAGGCCAGGGCCUAGGUGGACGUGUUCUGGAUAUGGCAGCCUCUCCUCUCCCAACCCCCAGGGAAGCAGCUCUCAGCGACAGCCCCAGCCCCGGCGGAUGGAUGGGAAACUGAGGCACAGCCAGAUCCACAGAUGACAAUGGGCCCGGUCAGUGACCGCGGGUGGCCCUGCGCUCUCCGGCAUGCAGGCUCCAGCCACGGCCAGCAGAAAAUGACUCUCCCGGCCUGGCUCCCCCACUCUCAGUCAAGGACGCAAAGGCCCCUCCCACAGCAGGGCCAGGACCUGAAUCGAGCCACUGGGCUCCGGGAAGCCAGAGAGAGCCCUGUCACCACGGAACAGAGCCAGCCGGGAGUGCAGGAGGGAGAACUUCCCUGUGGAUGUCCUGUGUUCUCAGGACGCAGAGAACCCUCAUCGGCCGAGGGGGAAGUCACUUCCGGAUCCACAGAUGGUGUGUGAGCGCAUGGCGAGUGCCUCCAGGACGCACUUACUGUUCCUUCUCUCUGGCCAGACGCCAGCCAGACCCUGUGUGUGCAUGGCGCUGCUCGCUGCAGCCGCCUGCGAGGGGUUCCUGCGAAGGCCAGCACCUCGGUGAAGAGCCGGGGGCUGAACUUGAACUCAGGGCUACUGGAGUCAGGCCGUGCUUUUUCACCUCUGCCCAUGAUGUCAGAGCCUUUCCCUAGCAAUGUUUAAAAAGUUACUUCUGCCUGGAAAAAAAUGGAAAAAAUGGCAAAUUAUGUUACGUAUAAUUUGAUAAUUUUAAAGAAUUAAUGAUGUAAUUAUUACUCAAACC
rnacentral:lncRNA from 1 species